rnacentral:rRNA from 1 species
AGCGAACGCUGGCGGCAGGCUUAACACAUGCAAGUCGAACGGAUCCUUCGGGAUUAGUGGCGGACGGGUGAGUAACACGUGGGAACGUGCCUUUUGGUUCGGAACAACACAGGGAAACUUGUGCUAAUACCGGAUGUGCCCUUCGGGGGAAGGAUUUAUCGCCAUUAGAGCGGCCCGCGUCUGAUUAGCUAGUUGGUGAGGUAAAGGACUCACCAAGGCUACGAUCAGUAGCUGGUCNGAGAGGAUGAUCAGCCACACUGGGACUGAGACACGGCCCAGACUCCUACGGGAGGGCAGCAGUGGGGGAAUCUUGCGCAAUGGGGGAAACCCUGACGCAGCCAUGCCGCGUGAAUGAUGAA